ensembl:snRNA
AUGUCGUAUGAAAGGAGAGAAGGUGAGCACUCCCCUUGACAAGGAUGGAAGAGGCCCUGGGGCCUGACAACAUGCACAGGGUUAAGGCACUGGCACCUACUUGGUGGCCUCUGACCAUCGUUUUUG